UCCAACAGAGGGCAGAGACCAACAUGCUGCAUUUCAUAUUAAUGCUCGGCGCUUUGCUGCUGGUCACCAGCAACUUCUGCCAUGCUUGCGGUCGGUUAUGUUUCCAGCUGAAUGAAAACUGUGUGUCUGGUACAUGCUGUCCCGGGCUUGCCUGCAUUCCUCCUGCACAAGGCGGCUUGAUCGGACAGUGUCAGAACUCCAAUGCAAGACUGUCGCAGAUUGGUGAUGAAACAUUGAAAUAACCUUACGAAUAAUAAUAGUAAUUUACAUAUAUUUCUGCAUAUCUCGAAUUGUAAACAUCAUAAAAAUCUCUAUCUAAAAGAGUCUUGAUCAUCGCAACUGACGCUGAAUUAGUGUAUAUAUAUAUAUAUAUAUACACACACACACACACACACACACACACACACACAGACAGAGUAGUUCACAGUAUAAGUUUGAGGCUGCGUUCACUUUUCUUAACUUUUCACUAUCAGCGACAUAUGAUAAAGCAUGUUCCUGCACUUAUUAAGAUCGUUUUUUAUUUUUCACAGACAGUAAAGGUAAAAUAUCCUCUUGUGUCUAAUGGAUGGAAAUUGUUAAAACCUACAUCUACUGCAAUGUUUAAAAUUGUUCUUUUGGCCUUUGUCCAUCGUAUAACUUAUAAAUCCAUAAAAUAAAGUUUCGAAAGCUGGA